rnacentral:rRNA from 1 species
UACGUAGGGCGCAAGCGUUGUCCGGAAUUACUGGGCGUAAAGCGCACGUAGGCGGAUCUUUAAGUCAGGGGUGAAAUCCUGGAGCUCAACUCCAGAACUGCCUUUGAUACUGAGGACCUUGAGUUCGGGAGAGGUGAGUGGGACUGCGAGUGUAGAGGUGAAAUUCGUAGAUAUUCGCAAGAACACCAGUGGCGAAGGCGGCUCACUGGCCCGAUACUGACGCUGAGGUGCGAAAGCGUGGGGAGCAAACAGG